UGGGGAAUAUUGGACAAUGGGCGCAAGCCUGAUCCAGCCAUGCCGCGUGAGUGAAGAAGGCCCUAGGGUUGUAAAGCUCUUUCAGCGGGGACGAUAAUGACGGUACCCGCAGAAGAAGCCCCGGCUAACUUCGUGCCAGCAGCCGCGGUAAUACGAAGGGGGCUAGCGUUGUUCGGAAUUACUGGGCGUAAAGCGCGCGUAGGCGGAUAUUUAAGUCAGGGGUGAAAUCCCAGGGCUCAACCCUGGAACUGCCUUUGAUACUGGAUGUCUGGAGUUCGGGAGAGGUGAGUGGAAUUCCGAGUGUAGAGGUGAAAUUCGUAGAUAUUCGGAGGAACACCAGAAGCGAAGGCGGCUCACUGGCCCGAUACUGACGCUGAGGCGCGAAAGCGUGGGGAGCAAACAGG
rnacentral:rRNA from 1 species